rnacentral:rRNA from 1 species
GCUCAGGAUGAACGCUAGCGACAGGCUUAACACAUGCAAGUCGAGGGGUAACAGGGUGUAGCAAUACACCGCUGACGACCGGCGCACGGGUGAGUAACGCGUAUGCAACCUGCCUUUGACAGAGGGAUAGCCCAUGGAAACGUGGAUUAAUACCUCAUAGUCUCUUUUUCCUUCCUGGGGAAUAGAGUAAAACGAGAGUGGUCAAAGAUGGGCAUGCGUCCUAUUAGGCAGUUGGCGGGGUAACGGCCCACCAAACCGAUGAUAGGUAGGGGUUCUGAGAGGAAGGUCCCCCACACUGGUACUGAGACACGGACCAGACUCCUACGGGAGGCAGCAGUGAGGAAUAUUGGUCAAUGGUCGAGAGACUGAACCAGCCAAGUCGCGUGAGGGAUGACUGCCCUAUGGGUUGUAAACCUCUUUUCUACUGGGAGAAUAAGCCCUAUGUAUAGGGUGAUGACAGUACAGUAGGAAUAAGCAUCGGCUAACUCCGUGCCAGCAGCCGCGGUAAUACGGAGGAUGCGAGCGUUAUCCGGAUUUAUUGGGUUUAAAGGGUGCGUAGGCGGCUUUAUAAGUUAGUGGUAAAAUUUCGGAGCUUCACUCCGGUCCGCCAUUAAAACUGUAGAGCUAGAGAAUGGACGAGGUAGGCGGAAUAAGUUAAGUAGCGGUGAAAUGCAUAGAUAUAACUUAGAACUCCGAUAGCGAAGGCAGCUUACCAGACCAUAACUGACGCUGAUGCACGAGAGCGUGGGUAGCGAACAGGAUUAGAUACCCUGGUAGUCCACCGCUGUAAACGAUGCUCACCGGCCCUUAGCGAUAAGACAGUUAGGGGCUAAUUGAAAGAAUUAAGUGAGCCACCUGGGGAGUACGUCGGCAACGAUGAAACUCAAAGGAAUUGACGGGGGCCCGCACAAGCGGAGGAACAUGUGGUUUAAUUCGAUGAUACGCGAGGAACCUUACCUGGGUUUAAAUGUAUGUUGCAUAAUCUGGAAACAGUUUUUUUCUUUGGAGUUAUAUACAAGGUGGUGCAUGGUUGUCGUCAGCUCGUGCCGUGAGGUGUCGGGUUAAGUCCCAUAAUGAGCGCAACCGUUACCGUUAGUUGCUAACAUGUAAUGAUGAGCACUCUAGCGGGACUGCCUCCGUAAGGUGAGAGGAAGGGGGGGACGAUGUCAAAUCAGCGCGGCCCUUCUAUAGCAGGGCGACACACGUGUUACAAUGGCCAUAACAGCGGGUAACUACCGGGUGACCGGAUGCAAAUCUAGAAAAUUGGUCUAAGUUUGGAUUGGAGUAUGCAACCCUAUUCCAUGAAGUUGGAUUAGUUAGUAAUAGUGCAUCAGCCAUGGCGCGGUGAAUACGUUCCUGGGCCUUGUACACACCGCCCGUCAAGCCUUGGAAGCUGGGAGUACCUAAAGUCCGUAGCC